rnacentral:sRNA from 1 species
UUCUUGGUAUGUUUCCAGUUGACGUA